UGUUCAGGGGUAAACCUGUGGUUCCCGAAAGUUCGAACGGGGAGAUUCAAUUGCCUCGCCGGUUAUGACCAUUUAACAGUGAUGUGUUUAUAUAUAUAUUAGAGACAUUAUAUGGCGGUUGCGGGUUUAUUCUCGUAGCUGAUUACUAUAUAGUGCUCCACUGUUUUAUGAUAUAUUAUAGCCGGAGGCAUGCACUUCUCCCCUUGUAGGACGUCGUGACCCAUUGGAUUAUGUUGUCUAAGGCUUAUAAUGGAGACCGUGGCAUUGGGGCGGCAACGUUCCAAUGAUCCGGACUUAUAAUGUCCCGACAUCUAUCCGAUGGUAUAAUUAUGAUGAUAGAUCGCUAUAAAUGCGAGUUAGCGUUCAGAUCCAUAACAAAUGCUUAUAUAUAGUGGAAAUCGGAUUUAAUGCCGAUUCUACACAUGUGGUAUUGCUAGUUGUGGUAUUCUCGAACCGUUCUUUAUCAUCAGUCAACGGCGUUUAUGUUUUGGGUAAUUACAGGACCCGUCUUGAAACACGGACCAAGGAGUCUAGCAUGUGCGCAAGUCAUUGGGACUAUGUGAAACCUAAAGGCGUAAUGAAAGUGAAAUAUUUGUGAAUUUUCGUAAUUCACUGAAUUUAAGGGAAGAUGGGUAACGGUAUUUAUGUUACCUCGCAUUCCCGGGGCGUCGCGUACUUAUUGCAAGUUGCGGCGCACCAAGAGCGUACAUGCUGGGACCCGAAAGAUGGUGAACUAUGCCUGGUCAGGAUGAAGUCAGGGGAAACCCUGAUGGAGGUCCGUAGCGAUUCUGACGUGCAAAUCGAUCGUAUGAACUGGGUAUAGGGGCGAAAG
rnacentral:rRNA from 1 species